GCACUGUGUUUGAAGUUCAUGAACAAUUCAGCCUGGAUGAACUCAGUUACAAGUCUUCCCUUCACUGUGUAGUUAUUGAAAGAGUAAGUACUUUGGUGCAGAAGAUGCCCCUGUGGACGGAAUACUCAAGUGCGUUCCAGAGAGACUUCGUGUUGAUGUAAAGCAGCAGUGACUUAGAAAGGCUGAGAACGCAGACCCUGACGACCUGGAGAGGCUGUGCUUAGCAUGGGAAUCACAGAGAGAUUUAUCUUAAAGGUGUCCAGGAGGCCAGAAAACUACAUUGGAUCUCUCAAAGCUGGGUUUCCAGGCACUUGUGAGCUGCCUGAUGUAAGUGCUGGGAACUGAACUCAGGUCCUCUGCUAGAGCAGCCCUCCGCUUGCUCACAGAUGCUGGGGCCUCUCUCCAGUCCCCUCCUGUUCCUCCAUCUGAGGCAGAAGCACAUAACAAUGGCAACUAGAGAGCGAGUGAACAGAACAUGAGAGCACAGGCACUAAGAACAGCAAUCAAUAAAUGGGACCCAGGAAACUGAAAACCUUCUGCAAAGCAAAGGACACCGUCAAUAGGACAAAACAGAGGCCCAAGAAUGGGAAAAGGUGUUCACCAACUCCACAGCUGACAGAGGGCUAGUAUGAGAAAUAUAUAAAUAACUCAAGGAUCUAGACAUCAGCAAACUAAAUAAUCCAGAGGUACCGGUUUAAACUGAGAGUUUUCGUCAGGGAAAUGCAAAUCAAAAAUGACUUGAGAUUCCGUCUUAUAUCAGUGCUAUGGCUAAGACCUAAAACACAAGGGACAGCUCUUGCUGGCGAGGACAUGGAGCAAGAACACUCCUCCAUUGCUGGCGGGAGUACAAAUGUGUACAUCUCCUUCAGAUAUCAAUAUGGCGGCUCCUCAGAAGAUUGGAAAUGGAGUUGCCUCAAGACCUAGCUAUACCACUCCAGGGCAUAUACCCAAAAGAUGUUUCAUCCUUUCGCAGGGACACUUGCUCAACUCUGUUCAUAGCAGCUUUAUUCAUAAUAGCCAGAAAUAACCUAGAUGGCCCUUAACCAAAAAAAAAAAAUAGAUAAGGAAAAUGUGGUACAUUUACACAAUGGAGUGUUACUCGGCUGUUAAAAACAAUGACAACACGAAAUUUUCAAGCAAGAUGGAUGGAACUAGAAAACAAUCAUGCCAAGUGAAGCAACACAGACCGAGAAAGACACACAUGAUAUGUCCUCACUUCUGAGUGAAUAUUAGCCGUCAUCAGUCCAGGGGCCUAGAGAAGCUAAGUAACAAGGAGGGCUUAAAGGGGGUGCAAAGAUCUCCCUAGGAAGGGGAAAUAGAAUAGAUUUUCUGGAUGAACUAGGGGCAGAUG
ensembl:lncRNA